GACAAACAGGCCAAGUUAAGAUUAAUUUUGGUAUAAAAGGAGGUUAAGGAGAUAAGAAAUAGUUUGAUUAAAGAGUUAUGUUUUAAUGUAGAGGUGGAAUUUGGACAUUAAUUCGGUACUUUUUUAUUUUCUGAUGCCUCGAAAUUUUUAUAGUCGACCGGGAUUAGAUACCCCGUUAGUAAAAAUGUAAACAUUGGUUGUUUGGGCAGCUUACCUGAGUAUUACGGGCUGGGAUGUGAAUUUCAGUGGCUUAAAACUCAAAAAACUUGGCGGUGCCUUAUUUCCUUCCAGGGGAACCUGUCCUGUAAUCGAUAGUCCACGAUUUAGCUUACUUUUUGUUGUAUUAGUAUGAAGUUACUAACAGUUUGUAUACCGUCGUCGUCAGAUUACCUUUAAGAGAAUUGAAGUUAUCGUGGUAAUGAGAUUGAAUAUGUGUGUUUAAGUAAGUAUAUAUAAAUAAUUAAGAUGUCAGAUCAAGGUGCAGCUUAUAAAAAAGUAGAGAUGGGUUACAAUAUGCGUUUCAUAUACGGAUUUUGGGUUGUAAUGAAAAAUGAAGGUGGACUUGGGAGUAAUGAAGUCAUAUCAGUAGGUAGGUUUAAUGAAAAUGGUGCUAAGGUGCGU
rnacentral:rRNA from 1 species